GCAAGAUCGUGGACAUGCUUUCCACAGGCUUUCUUGAACUGUGAACUCUCCGUGGUCCUUUUUCGCUUCCUUGAUCCUUUCUUCCCGAGGAAGAACUCCAAGGAAGAAGAAGAGGAGGAGUAGGAGGAGGAGGAGGGGAUGGUGACCGCCGUUGAUAGUUCAAGAAAGCCCGUGGAAACCGUGACAGAUCUUUCC
rnacentral:miRNA from 15 species